AUGAUACGCUAGCGGCAGGCUUAAUACAUGCAAGUCGAGGGGCAGCAUGACUGUAGCAAUACAGUUGAUGGCGACCGGCAAACGGGUGCGGAACACGUACAGCAACCUCCUAACUGGGGGAAUAGCCCAGAGGAACCCUGAUUAUUAAACCUCGUAACCUAAUGAAGUAAGGCAUCACUUAUUAUUAGUAUAGCUGCCGGGCGGUUUUGGAUGGGCGUGCGCCUGAUUAGAUAGUUGGCGGGGUAAGGUACGGCCCACCAAGCCUUGCGAUCAGUAACUGGUGUGAGAGCACGACCAGUCCACAGGGCACUGAGACACGGGCCCGACUCCUACGGGAUGGCAGCAGUAAGGAAUAUGGUCAAUGGACGCAAGUCUGAACCCAGCCAUGCCGCGUGAAGGAUGAAGGUCCUCUGGAUUGUAAAACUUCUUUUUAUGGGACGAAAUCACUUAUUCUUAGAGUAGUUGACGGUACCAGAUGGAAUAAGCACCGGCUAACUCCGUGCCAGCAGCCGCUGGUAAUACGGGAGGGUGCAAGCGUAUCCGGAUUCACUGGGUUAAAGGGUGCGUAGGAGGGCAAGGGAAGUCAGUGGUGAAAUACUCCGGGCCUUAACUCGGAACUGCCAGUUGAUACUAUCUGUCUUGAAUCCCGUGGAGAGUAGGCGGAAUAUGUCAUGUAGCGGUGAAAAUGCUUAGAUAUGACAUAGAACACCAAUUGCGAAGGCAGCUCGGCUACACGAAGAUUGACACUGAGGCACGAAAGCGUGGGGAUCAAACAGGAUUAGAUACCCUGGUAGUCCACGCCCUAAACGAUGGAUACUCGACAUUACGCGAUACACUUGAAGUGUCUGAGCGAAAGCAUAAUAAGUAUCCCACCUGGGAAUGUACGACCGCAAGGUUGAAACUCAAAGGAAUUGGCGGGGGAUCCGCACAAGCGGUGGAGCAUGUGGUUAAUUCGAUGAUACGCGAGGAACCUUACCUGGGCUAGAAUGCUAAGUGAGACCGUGGGUGAAGCUCAAUUUUGUAGCAAUACACCUGCAGUAAGGGUGCUGCAUGCUGUCGUCAGCUCGUGCCGUGAGGUGUGUGGGUAAGUCCCGCAACGAGCGCAACCCCCAUCACUAGUUGCCAUCAGGUAACGCUUGGGAACUCUACGUGAAACUGCCGUCGAUAAGACGUGAGGAAGGGAGGGGAUGAUGUCAAGUCAUCAUGGCCUUUAUGCCCAGGGCUACACACGUGCUACAAUGGGCGUACAAAGGGCUGCCACAUUAGCGAUAAGGAGCCAAUCCCAAAAAACGCCUCUCAGUUCAGAUCGCAGUCUGCUAACUCGACUGCGUGAAGCUGGAAUCGCCUAGUAACGUUAUCAGCAUGAUACGGUGAAUACGUUCCCGGACCUGCACACACCGCCCGUCAAGCCAUGGAAGCCGGGUGGUACCUAAAGUCGGUAACCGCAAGGAGCCGCCUAGGGUAAAACUGGUAACUGGGGCU
rnacentral:rRNA from 1 species